rnacentral:rRNA from 1 species
AUGUCCAGGGAGCGGCGGGUGCCGCUCGUCCUGGCCCUGGCGGCGGCGGCGGUGGUGGGUGCCCUCGCGGUUGCGGAGGCGGAGCUGCAGGUCGGGUUCUACAAUGCGACGUGCCCGAUCGCGGAGGGCGUGGUGUUCGCGGAGAUGCACGCCAUCCUGCACGAGGACCCCACGCUCGCGCCCUCCCUGCUCCGGAUGCACUACCACGACUGCUUCGUCCAGGGCUGCGACGGCUCCAUCAUGCUCAGGUCCAGGCGGGGCACGGCGGAGCGGGACGCCACCCCGAACCGGAGCAUGCGCGGCUACGACGCCAUCGAGAGGAUCAAGGCCAAGCUCGAGAUGCUCUGCCCGCUCACCGUCUCCUGCGCCGACAUCAUCGCCAUGGCCGCCAGGGACGCCGUUUACCUGAGCAAGGGGCCGUGGUACGGCGUGGAGACCGGGCGGCGGGACGGCAAUGUGACGGUGGCCGAGUACGCGGAGAACGACCUGGCGCCGCCGGACUCCAACAUCGUCGACGUCAAGACCUUCUUCAGCGUCAAGUCCCUCACCGCCAAGGACAUCGUCGUCCUCUUCGGGAGCCACAGCAUCGGGACCUCCCACUGCGAGGCGUUCCAGAAGCGACUCUACAACUUCACGGGCGCCAUGGACCAGGACCCGUCGCUGGGCGCCCGGUACGCGAGGCAGCUGAGGAAGCUCUGCCCGCGCCGCCACGGCGGCCGGGGCAGGAGGACCAAGGUGCCCAUGGACCCCGGCAGCGGCUUCACCUUCGACCUCAGUUACUACCGCCACGUGCUGGCCACGGGGGGGCUCUUCCAGUCCGACGGCAGCCUGCUCCACGACGCCGCCACCAGGGACUACGUCGAGAGGAUGGCCAACGCGUCGUCGCCGGACGAGUACUACCAGGACUUCGCGGCGGCCAUGGUCAAGAUGGGCCGCACCGACGUGCUCCCCGACCACCUCGGUGAGGUCAGGGCGACCUGCGGCGUUUUUGUUGACUAG